rnacentral:rRNA from 1 species
AGUGAACGCUGGCGGUAGGCCUAACACAUGCAAGUCGAACGGCAGCACAGGAGUGCUUGCUCUCUAGGUGGCGAGUGGCGGACGGGUGAGGAAUACAUCGGAAUCUGCCCAGUCGUGGGGGAUAACGUAGGGAAACUUACGCUAAUACCGCAUACUACCUUCGGGUGAAAGAGGGGGAUCGCAAUACCUCUCGCGAUUGGAUUAGCCGAUGUCGGAUUUGCUAGUUAGCGGGGUAAUGGCCCACCAAGGCCACGAUCCGUACCUGGUCUGAGAGGAUGAUCAGCCACACUGGAACUGAGACACGGUCCAGACUCCUACGGGAGGCAGCAGUGGGGAAUAUUGGACAAUGGGCGCAAGCCUGAUCCAGCCAUACCGCGUGGGUGAAGAAGGCCUUCGGGUUGUAAAGCCCUUUUGUUGGGAAAGAAAUCUUUCAGGCUAAUACCCUGGGAGGAUGACGGUACCCAAAGAAUAAGCACCGGCUAACUUCGUG